rnacentral:lncRNA from 1 species
CGCCGCCUGCACGGCUUACCUGAGGUGCCUGUACUGAGAGAGGUGGGCGCGCGCCUCCUGGACGCGACAGAUGCUGCUGCUGCUGCUGUCGGCGGUGGCGACUUGCGCGCGCGGGCAGCUGCCCCUGGGGCCGCCUUCGCCGGGGCUUUCCAACUUGAUUCGGCCACUUCUUCUGGCGCUACCGUGGCUCUUCCCUCGAUGCCAGAGGCCCGCCGAAGCGCCCGGGGAACGGGAGACCGACGCGGCUUCUUUCCCUCUGUUAGGGCUACUACUGCCGGUGGUGCCGUUGCUGCUACUGCUGCUGCUCGUGCGCCUCCGCCGGCUGCUGUAUCUCAUGAGGAGCUGCUGCUGCUGCUGGAGCCGGUGAAGUGGGUCAAGGGAUGAAAAGGGACGCUGGGAUCGCCGCCUCCUGUCCUGUCCGGUCCUCCCCCAGAUUUCUUCCUUUUGGAAAAGAGGGAUGACCUUUUCUAGUAUAUGUAUAUAUAUAUAUGUAAGAAAAGGGUGGGGAAAGAAAAAGCUGCAGGAGGGGGGAUAGGAAGCGGCGUUCCCUCCCCUUGUUUUUGCACAAGUGCAGGAAAUGUUCCACUGACCUACAUAUUUUUCCAAACAUACGUGACCUUCCCCCUCCCGUCCACUGUGGAAGGAGGAGACGAGGGAGGACUUAAAAAGGGAAAGUAAAGCAAAAUGCAAAUAAGAAUCAGGGCCGCCCGCGAUUGGAAAUCGGAGGGAAGGUGUAGAGCCGAAGAGAACUUGUCUGUAUACCUGGAANGAAAAGUCAAAAUAUGAACUGGGCAGGUGAACUGACCCCUGUACCAGUCUUCCUAGUCAACCAAACANUUAGUUGUGGGGCAGACUUCUGCUUCGACUGGUACUUUAGGCAUUUGUAUUGUACCCAGAUGUUGUUACCUGAUGCCACUUACUCUUAUUACUGGAGUUGCUUACACUGCUGUCUGCGGUGAACUUGUUGAAUAGCACUAUUAAGUUUUUCUCCUGGGGAGUUUAUGGGUCUCUGCUAUGUCCCUCAAUUGAUCUCUCAUUUUUUCUACACAAAUCUAAAGUAAAACUAUUUUCUCAGAGUCUCCAANGCUUGGUAUCCAAGUGUGCAUUACUGUUUCAGUGCCCUACUAUUCCAAAUUUGUGAAGGUUAGCAUCUGAGUCAUUUUUUUUUAUUUUUUAAAUUGUGUGUUAGUUCUCCAGUUUUGAUGUGUUAAAUUUACCUGCUCUUGAGACACCCCAUAUUGCAAAUGUUUUGUACCCUUAUUCUCAAUAUCUGUUUCUGGAAAAUAUUUUGAGAUCUCCUUUUUAAUGGG